GAUGAACGCUGGCGGCGUGCCUAAUACAUGCAAGUCGAGCGAACGGACGAGAAGCUUGCUUCUCUGAUGUUAGCGGCGGACGGGUGAGUAACACGUGGAUAACCUACCUAUAAGACUGGGAUAACUUCGGGAAACCGGAGCUAAUACCGGAUGAUAUUUUGAGCCGCAUGGUUCAAAAGUGAAAGACGGUCUUGCUGUCACUUAUAGAUGGAUCCGCGCUGCAUUAGAUAGUUGGUAAGGUAACGGCUUACCAAGGCAACGAUGCAUAGCCGACCUGAGAGGGUGAUCGGCCACACUGGAACUGAGACACGGUCCAGACUCCGACGGGAGGCAGCAGUAGGGAAUCUUCCGCAAUGGGCGAAAGCCUGACGGAGCAACGCCGCGUGAGUGAUGAAGGUCUUCGGAUCGUAAAACUCUGUUAUUAGGGAAGAACAUAUGUGUAAGUAACUGUGCACAUCUUGACGGUACCUAAUCAGAAAGCCACGGCUAACUACGUG
rnacentral:rRNA from 1 species